CGGGAUUUACAUCAGCAGAGAACAAUUAAUUCACAUUUGAGAAAGAAAUUAGUUUUGAAAAAAGAAUAAUUUGAAGUCACUCAUACAUCCUGUGGCACUGGAGGGGGAGUCUGGAGGUUGGAAGGCCAUAGCAGAGAGCUGGAUGGGAAGUGGAGCAGCCAGGACUUGAACCGGUGCCCAUAUGGGAUGCCAGCACUUCAAGCAGCAGCUUUACCUGCUAUACCACAGCACCAGCCCUGCAGCCAAGACUUGAACCAUUGUUCAUCUUAACCUGCUGAGCUCCAUCACUGGCCCUGAGAUUUUCAUCUGUCAGUAAGAAGACUGAGAUGUAUGGCUGCUAUUUUGUUCCUGAGAUGCAUUCGACCUCGGUUCCCAGGCCUUUCUGGAAAUUCUGUGUGGCAAAUUUCCUUUAAUAAAUCAUUUUCUGCUUAAAUUAACUUGACUGGAUUCUGCUUUCUCUAACUAAAAUUUGUUAGCUAGGUGGAAUAGCUUCUAACACAAUCCUAGUGAUACAACAAAGUACUUCAACAGAUUCACUACUAAGAAGAAACUUGAACU